UAAUAACUCUCGGCAACGGAUAUCUCGACUCUCG
rnacentral:rRNA from 1 species